UGGGCUUGCUUUAUCUUCCUUAAAAAAAAAAAAAGAAAAGAAAAGCCAAUAGUUUCAUUACAAAUGAGAAAGGAAGUCGAUACAAAACUGAUCUUUGGGUGACCAUACUGGAAUGAGUUCUCUGUCCUUUAUUUUUCCUGGAUUCAUCAUAUCCUGGCCUCUCCCACCUGACCCAAUA
rnacentral:lncRNA from 1 species